rnacentral:rRNA from 1 species
GACGAACGCUGGCGGCGUGCUUAACACAUGCAAGUCGAACGAUGAAGUCUCCAGUUUUCUGGGGGUGGAUUAGUGGCGAACGGGUGAGUAACACGUGAGUAACCUGCCCCUUUCUUCGGGAUAAGCUUGGGAAACUGGGUCUAAUACCGGAUAGUCAGCGGCUGCCGCAUGGUGGUUGUUGGAAAGAUUUUUUGGGAGGGGAUGGGCUCGCGGCCUAUCAGCUUGUUGGUGGGGUGAUGGCCUACCAAGGCGUCGACGGGUAGCCGGCCUGAGAGGGUGACCGGCCACACUGGGACUGAGAUACGGCCCAGACUCCUACGGGAGGCAGCAGUGGGGAAUAUUGCACAAUGAGCGAAAGCUUGAUGCAGCGACGCCGCGUGAGGGAUGACGGCUUUCGGGUUGUAAACCUCUUUCGGUAGGGAACAAGUCCAGGUUUUGGCCUGGUUGAGGGUACCUGCAUAAGAAGCGCCGGCUAACUACGUG